CUUGAAAAACCACCGUUGUAAUUCAUCUACAAAAACA
rnacentral:tRNA from 1 species